rnacentral:rRNA from 1 species
UACGUAGGUCCCGAGCGUUGUCCGGAUUUAUUGGGCGUAAAGCGAGCGCAGGUGGUUUAUUAAGUCUGGUGUAAAAGGCAGUGGCUCAACCAUUGUAUGCAUUGGAAACUGGUAGACUUGAGUGCAGGAGAGGAGAGUGGAAUUCCAUGUGUAGCGGUGAAAUGCGUAGAUAUAUGGAGGAACACCGGUGGCGAAAGCGGCUCUCUGGCCUGUACCUGACACUGAGGCUCGAAAGCGUGGGGAGCAAACAGG